GGAGCGGCCACGGACUCGGCGCCGAGACCCCCGCGCCAGGCCUGGGGACGGGGUGGGACUCGGGAGGGCGCUGCCGCCGCCUUCGCAGGCUCCCUCCCGGCUGCCUGUCCCUCAGGCCCUCCUCGUGGCCUCCCCACCGACGCCGCCCGGUCCCGCGCUGUCCUCGUUCUCCCGAGGGCGGGUCCUCCGCGGGGACUCCGCUCACAGCCGGGUGUGGUCUCGGCUCCAGGGUCCUGUCCAGGGCGGCGUGGCCGCAGCAGCCUCGCCUGGGACCCGGACUCCAGGUGAAGAGGAUGCCCGGCCAGCAGGCGCCCUGCAGAGUGGAGGGCGACGGAGGAGGACCCUCCGCCAGGGCGAGGGAGGCCGCGUGGAGAGGAGCCGCCUCCAGUGUGGAAAUGUGAGAGCAAGUCGGUGACAUCUUUCAGCUGCAUACAUAGCCCAAAAAAGACUUCAUAUGUGUGCCAAGAAGCCAGUGAGUCUAUUGCAGAGAACUCCAUGGAAAUGUGCAGGAAGAAAGUGCCUUCAAACACGUGUGCACCUGGGAAUCCAGGCAUCUGCUUCACUUCAGAAGAAGCAUUCAUGAUUCAUUUCAAGAAGACUUGAGCAGGAAGAACUGAGCUGCAGGUAUACCGCGGGUACCUUGCAUUGCAGAUGGGUUAGAAGAGAGAAGAGCUGCUUCAUGGGAUUUGAUCACAUUUUUCCUGAAAGUCUCACACACAGUAGGCAGGUGCUUGAAUCCUCUCCUUGAAGGUUUAUAGGCCUUAAGACCAGAUGUGUCCAGAUGUUGACUUGAAGGAUAUCAGCUCCUAUAAGCCCUCAUCUUGGCGGUAGUUUUUCCUCCCCUGGAUGCAAAGCAAGAAAAUGCAGUUGGCCCUGUGCCCAUCCUCCUCCUUCCACAGUCCCAGCAGCUGCAAAUCAAAACCAUCAGGAAAGAAAUUGUAUCUCUGUGGACAGUUACUUGUCAUUGUUUCCUAGAUCAUACAGGGUUAUGGAGAAUUACAUUGCCAUUUUAUUGUAUUAAGUGUCAGAAGCAUCAUUACGGGUGGAAGAUAUGGAAAUACUCUGGCAUUUUUAAAAGAGACUUGAGCAUGUGAGGACUGUGACAUUCUCCGUGCACUUGGAACAGACCUCCCAUGUAUUUCCUGUGAUGUUUCUGAUUUCCAGACUUGAGAACCUUCAGGGCUUCACUGUGAGUCAGCCCCAUGGGAAUGCAGUAGGUGGGCAGUCGGAGGUGGUGUGCAGAACCUCAGUGAGGGCUUGAAAGACCACAUCCCACAUCGCGACCAGGAGCAGAGAAGGGAGCCCUCUCCCCAUGUUGUAAGUUUAUCUCUUCUUUUAUAACAAGAUCAUGUCUUGUGAAAUUUUGCACACAUUCUGAAUCAUUCCAAUAAGUUUGGAUGGUCUGAGGAGCAUGGAGUUCAUUCUGUUUUUUCUCCCAUAUGAUGUGU